UGUUUUGUUUAACUUAUUUUGGUUUAAUUGUAAAUUUGUGAUAGUGAACGCUAAGCAAACCCGAACUAAAAUGUACUAAUGUAUCUUUUUCUUGUUUGUUCCAGACCAAGGGAACCAAACUACAAGUUUGAACACACCCGUAAUCUAAAGUGCUGACUGGUAUCAUCCAAAUAACAUUUCAGCUCAUCCAGACAACCCCCCCAAGCCCAUUCCAGUUUUCUAUUUCAAGAGUGCACUCUCCGUUUCGCUGAGCGAUCACUUGCUUGUCGGCUGGUCCCUUCUGCUUGAAAACUCCCCAGAAGGCAACAGCCAUUAGGGACAGAGAUCUGGAGGAUAGCUUUCCCUAGCCAUGCAGGAGGGGGUACAGUAAGUGAGAUGGGCAGAACAGCUUCUCAUACUUGUGCCAUGCAUUUUCCCUGAGAAUGCAGCUAUGUUUGGCUGGACUCUACCGCAUGACUGAAUGUGGCAUUUAUAUGCUGAGCAAUUAGCACUCUCAACUCUGAGCUUCUCUAAGCACGCGGCAGUGUUCUCAUGCCAGGAGGUUCGACAAGGCCUUCACUGUGCUUCCCUUCAAGUUUUUGGAACUUCAUGGAACAAGGAGGAGACCUAUUAUAGUAUCAGCAGGUAAUAAGAAGAAAAAAAAGGAAAACAUCAACAACCACAGGUUCAACUUGUUUCCACCUUACACUUUACUUCACCCCUCUAAUGUUACCUUACAGUUUCCCACCUCCACAUGGUUUGUUUUGGUUUUGUUAAUGUAGUUUUUCAUAUUCUGGGUGUACAAGUUCAUCCAUGUUUCUGUCAACUAGUUUUUUGACCUUGUGUGUGAUUUUUGUACUGCCCUUAAAGGAAUGGUUCACCAAAAAGACACCUGGUACCUGGCAGAUGUUUUGUAAAUGUGUCAAAGGGCCUGUUUACACCUCACAUUAACAUGUGUUCCAUGUCUGGAUCAUACCAAAUAUUAGAAGAUAUCAUUUAAUGGCCAGAGGAGGAUGAGCCCCCUGUUUGAGUCUUGGUUCCCCUCAAGGUUUCUUCCGCAUACUCUAGGGAGUUUUCCACUGUCGCCUUUGGCUUGAUCACUGGGGGCUUGGACUUGGACGUUUGUAAAGCUGCUUUGUGACAACAUCUAUUAUAAAAAGCGCUCUAUAAAUACAUUUUGAUUUGAUUUGCUUUAAAGCAUGUAAUGAAUAAUCUGUGUGAAUCAUCUGCAUGAAUCAUCUGCAUGAAUCAUCUGUAUAGCUGGAGGAAUUUUUGGUUUGCAGCUGCUUGGUUUCUGCAGUGGACAGAACCGCUACCAUCCAGAGAGCUGUUUGGCAAUAACAGAGGAGUCAACACAUAGCAGAAGUAUGCUGCUUAUGCUGUCGGAGUGUUUAUAACUGGCCAAGUAAAAUCUGAACAUGAUCCCAUCACUAGAAACUCAUGUGAAGGUAUAAACAGGCUGAAAGAGUUUUUAUGUCAAUAUUUGCAAAACCUUUCACAAUGAAUGACAAUGAAUAAUGAAUAUAUGUACAUUAAUUUAUUAAUUUGUGCAUGCUAAUUUAUGAAUCUAUGUAUCUUCUCAAUGUUAAAUUUCUCAAAA